AGGACGAACGCUGGCGGCGUGCUUAACACAUGCAAGUCACGGGGGCUCGCAAGAGCAACCGGCGAACGGGUGCGUAACACGUGAGCAACCUGCCGAUCUGAGGGGGAUAGCCGGCCCAACGGCCGGGUAAUACCGCAUACGUUUUCCGAGGGACAUCCCUUGGGAAAGAAACCUCCGGGGCAGAUCGAGGGGCUCGCGGCCUAUCAGCUAGUUGGUGAGGUAACGGCUCACCAAGGCGACGACGGGUAGCUGGUCUGAGAGGAUGGCCAGCCACAUUGGGACUGAGAGACGGCCCAGACUCCUACGGGAGGCAGCAGUGGGGAAUCUUGCGCAAUGGCCGAAAGGCUGACGCAGCGACGCCGCGUGUGGGAUGAAGCAUUUCGGUGUGUAAACCACUGUUGCCCGGGACGAACAUCCUCUUUCGAGAGGACUGACGGUACCGGGUGAGGAGCACCGGCUAACGUCCGCGCCAGCAGCCGCGGUAA
rnacentral:rRNA from 1 species